AGUGAACGCUGGCGGUAGGCCUAACACAUGCAAGUCGAACGGCAGCACAGAGGAGCUUGCUCCUUGGGUGGCGAGUGGCGGACGGGUGAGGAAUACAUCGGAAUCUACUCUGUCGUGGGGGAUAACGUAGGGAAACUUACGCUAAUACCGCAUACGACCUACGGGGGAAAGCAGGGGAGCUUCGGACCUUGCGCGAUUGAAUGAGCAGAUGUCGGAUUAGCUAGUUGGCGGGGUAAAGGCCCACCAAGGCGACGAUCCGUAGCUGGUCUGAGAGGAUGAUCAGCCACACUGGAACUGAGACACGGUCCAGACUCCUACGGGAGGCAGCAGUGGGGAAUAUUGGACAAUGGGCGCAAGCCUGAUCCAGCCAUACCGCGUGGGUGAAGAAGGCCUUCGGGUUGUAAAGCCCUUUUGUUGGGAAAGAAAUCCAUCUGGUUAAUACCCGGGUGGGAUGACGGUACCCAAAGAAUAAGCACCGGCUAACUUCGUGCCAGCCGCCGCAGUAA
rnacentral:rRNA from 1 species